AUGGUGAGUUGUUUUCUUGUGCCCAUGCAGUUAGUCAGCAUGAAGAAAUUGCAUGGGAACCGGCUGAUUGUCUUGGGCCUACACAUUGCUCAAAAGACAGGGAAGAUGUCUGAGCCGACAGGUAGAAAACAAGCAGAUGGCUACAGCGAUCAAUGAAGAAAUGGCUUCAUCUAUGAUGGCUCGCCUUAGGACAUUGGAAUGGAGCUACACAAAGGCAUCCCCAGCCUCGCCUGUGCCCUGGAACAUUGGUUUGAAUAAGACUGUUCUUCAGUGUAGAACGACCACAAGACUUGUCACCACAUACAAGGCGUAGUGCAAGCUAUAAAUAUUGUACACGUGGCUAGAAUAAAUGACCCUCCAUGCA
rnacentral:lncRNA from 1 species